rnacentral:rRNA from 1 species
UACAGAGGUGGCAAGCGUUGUUCGGAUUUACUGGGCGUAAAGCGCGUUCAGGCGGUUUGACAAGUCGGGCAUGAAAUCUCUCGGCUCAACCGGGAGAGGUUGUCCGAUACUUUCAGACUUGAGGGCAGUAGAGGGUGGUGGAAUUCCACGUGUAGCAGUGAAAUGCGUAGAGAUGUGGAGGAACACCGAUGGCGAAGGCAGCCCCCUGGGCUAACACUGACGCUCAUGCACGAAAGCGUGGGGAGCAAACAGG